CCUACGGGAGGCAGCAGUGGGGAAUAUUGGACAAUGGGGGGAACCCUGAUCCAGCCAUGCCGCGUGUGUGAAGAAGGCCCUCGGGUUGUAAAGCACUUUCAGUGAGGAAGAACGCCUGGUGGUUAAUACCCAUCAGGAAGGACAUCACUCACAGAAGAAGCACCGGCUAACUCCGUGCCAGCAGCCGCGGUAAUACGGAGGGUGCGAGCGUUAAUCGGAAUUACUGGGCGUAAAGCGCGCGUAGGUGGCUUGAUAAGCCGGUUGUGAAAGCCCCGGGCUCAACCUGGGAACGGCAUCCGGAACUGUCAAGCUAGAGUGCAGGAGAGGAAGGUAGAAUUCCCGGUGUAGCGGUGAAAUGCGUAGAGAUCGGGAGGAAUACCAGUGGCGAAGGCGGCCUUCUGGACUGACACUGACACUGAGGUGCGAAAGCGUGGGUAGCAAACAGGAUUAGAUACCCCGGUAGUC
rnacentral:rRNA from 1 species